AGUCCCGUUACUUUUAUAUUAUAAUAUACAGUCCACAAAUCGAAGGAAGGCAUCGUUUGCAUUCCCCGCAUGGUUGACCGGUUUGGGCUACCCGCAACCAAAUAGCGCCACCAGCAAGAUGCCCAAGAUGCAAGCAGCGUUUUCCCUUUGUUUAGCUGUGGAAAAGGUGCUGCAAGUACAACUGAGACUUGUGACGCGUCGGGGUGCGACCCGCCACAAACGCCAGCCGAUCGCGCGUCAAAAUUUCCGCGGACUGAUGCCGACGCAAGCAGCACAGGCGAUAGCAGGCGGGAGGCGCGUGCGGAGAUCAAGACUACAAAAGACCGCCAGCCGGAGGGAGCGACACUCACUGGGGGAGGUUAC